rnacentral:ncRNA from 2 species
UCAUGCAACUCACACGCUGGUUCCUCGGUUCGCGCCGGGGAGGCAAGAGGGAACACGGUCCGGUUCGCAUGCGAACCAAGUCCGAGGCUGUCCCCGCAACUGUGAGCGGCGAGCCCGCGUCCAUCAUAGCCACUGGGAAACUGGGAAGGCUGGGCGCUUUGGGCAUUGACCCGCAAGCCAGGAGACCUGCCAGCGCUGUCACCCAACC